rnacentral:rRNA from 1 species
CCUACGGGUGGCAGCAGUGGGGAAUAUUGGACAAUGGGCGAAAGCCUGAUCCAGCCAUGCCGCGUGUGUGAAGAAGGCCUUCGGGUUGUAAAGCACUUUCAGUGGGGAAGAAAGCCUUGGGGCUAAUACCCUCGAGGUAGGACAUCACCCACAGAAGAAGCACCGGCUAACUCCGUGCCAGCAGCCGCGGUAAUACGGAGGGUGCGAGCGUUAAUCGGAAUUACUGGGCGUAAAGCGCGCGUAGGCGGUCUGAUAAGCCGGUUGUGAAAGCCCCGGGCUCAACCUGGGAACGGCAUCCGGAACGGUCAGGCUAGAGUGCAGGAGAGGAAGGUAGAAUUCCCGGUGUAGCGGUGAAAUGCGUAGAGAUCGGGAGGAAUACCAGUGGCGAAGGCGGCCUUCUGGACUGACACUGACGCUGAGGUGCGAAAGCGUGGGUAGCAAACAGGAUUAGAUACCCGAGUGUC